rnacentral:rRNA from 1 species
GGGGAAUAUUGGACAAUGGGCGCAAGCCUGAUCCAGCAAUACCGCGUGAGUGAUGAAGGUCUUCGGAUUGUAAAGCUCUUUUAGUAGGGAAGAUAAUGACGGUACCUACAGAAAAAGCACCGGCAAACUUCGUGCCAGCAGCCGCGGUAAUACGAAGGGUGCUAGCGUUGUUCGGAAUCAUUGGGCGUAAAGCGUACGUAGGCGGUUUAGUAAGUCGAUUGUGAAAGCCCUAAGCUCAACUUAGGAACUGCAACCGAUACUGCUUUGCUUGAGUUUGGUGGAGGAUGGUGGAAUUCCUAGUGUAGGGGUGAAAUCCGUAGAUAUUAGGAGGAAUAUCGGUGGCGAAAGCGACCAUCUACGCCAAUACUGACGCUAAGGUACGAAAGCGUGGGGAGCAAAC